rnacentral:rRNA from 1 species
GUAGGGAAUCUUCCACAAUGGACGAAAGUCUGAUGGAGCAACGCCGCGUGAACGAUGAAGGCUUUCGGGUCGUAAAGUUCUGUUGUAAGGGAAGAACAAGUGCCGCAGGCAAUGGCGGCACCUUGACGGUACCUUGCGAGAAAGCCACGGCUAACUACGUGCCAGCAGCCGCGGUAAUACGUAGGUGGCAAGCGUUGUCCGGAAUUAUUGGGCGUAAAGCGCGCGCAGGCGGCCUCUUAAGUCUGAUGUGAAAGCCCCCGGCUCAACCGGGGAGGGCCAUUGGAAACUGGGAGGCUUGAGUAUAGGAGAGAAGAGUGGAAUUCCACGUGUAGCGGUGAAAUGCGUAGAGAUGUGGAGGAACACCAGUGGCGAAGGCGACUCUUUGGCCUAUAACUGACGCUGAGGCGCGAAAGCGUGGGGAGCAAACAGG